ACAUGCUUACAACAUAGCGUUAAUUCACCGGAUCCCAUUAGAACUUUGCAGUUAAGCGAGCUCAGGCUAGAGUAGUAUUGGGAUAGGUGACCGCCCAGGAAGUCCUAGUGUUUUACAUGCC
rfam:Picea glauca, whole genome shotgun sequence.